rnacentral:rRNA from 1 species
AUGAAUUGCAUAAGUUGGAAUUGUCGUGGCUGUGGGAAUGCUGCGACAAUUCGUGAACUUUGUGUCGUGGCAGAGACACACCAUCCCAAAGUUAUCUUUCUUUCUGAAACUCGUCAAAAGUGUGUUCGUAUGCGUCGUCUUAGGAGUCGAUUAGGCCUUUCUGGUUUUGCUGGAGUUGAUAGUGAUGGUUUAAGUGGUGGUUUAGCUUUGUUCUGGCAUGAGAGUCUG